UCGAGAAUCUUGGGCAAUGCACGAAAGUGUGACCCAGCGACGCCGCGUGAAGGAUGAAGGCGCUCUGCGUUGUAAACUUCUUUUAUGGGGAAAGAAUCAAUGACGGUACCCCAUGAAUAAGCCACGGCUAACUACGUGCCAGCAGCCGCGGUAAUACGUAGGUGGCAAGCGUUGUCCGGAUUUACUGGGCGUAAAGCGUAUGCAGGCGGAUACUUAAGUAGGAAGUGAAAGGUUGGAGCUCAACUCCAACACUGCUCCCUAUACUGGGUGUCUUGAGUGGCGGAGAGGAAAGCGGAACAAAUCGUGUAGCGGUGAAAUGCGUAGAUAUGAUUUGGAACACCAAUGGCGAAAGCAGCUUUCUGGACGCAAACUGACGCUGAGAUACGAAAGCUAUGGUAGC
rnacentral:rRNA from 1 species